rnacentral:rRNA from 1 species
AGAGCAGAUUACCCGCCGAAUUUAAGCAUAUUAGUAAGCGGAGGAAAAGAAAACAACAGUGAUUCCACCAGUAACGGCGAGUGAAGAUGGAAGAGCUCAGAUUUAGAAUCCGGUGUUAUGAAAAGAUAUCGGAAUUGUAGUCUUUGACGGGUGCCUACCAACGUCUUGUCUUGCCAAUCAUGAAUAAUCCAUGGAAAGGGUAGCCACAGAGCGUGAAAGCCGCGUUUGUGUGGUUGGCAGAAUGAGAAUUAAUAAGUGAGGUGUUCGUUUCGAGUCGGGUUGUUUGGGAUUGCAGCCUCAAGAAUAGCGGUGUUAGACCACAUCGAAAGCUAAAUAUGGCAAGGAGACCGAUAGCGAACAAGUACUGCGAAGGAAAGGUGAAAAGGACUUUGAAGAGAGAGUCAAAAGAACUUGAAAUCGUCAAGAGGGAAGCGAAGUCGUCGAGAUUAAGCGUCAGAUUAUGGGAGGAUGGGUAAAACUGUCUACUUGUAGUUUGCGUGGCCAUGCAGUGAUUUGGACCUGAGUGAAGAUGGAUUGGAUGAAGAGGACGAGAAGUUAAAUUCUCGAGACCGGCAUUCGGUAACUAUUAUACGCUCGUCUAGAUCAUAUCGUGCGAGAAGAGGAGAUUUAUCAGCAUGCUUAAUCGCGUGUAACCUCAUUCCGUUUGCAGGUAAUUUGACUUGACGACUACGACCCGUCUUGUAACACGGACCAAGGAGUCUAACAACUAAGCAAGGGUGCGCCAAAAUUAAAGGGUGAUCCCGUAGAGAAAUCGAAGAAAUUGAUGGCUAGUUAGAAAUGACAAACCGGCAAAUUUCGGGUGAAGGAGUUCUGCUCCUUUGCAUCGAUAGUUUAGCUGUUAGGACCCGAAAGAUGGUGAACUAUACCCGCACAAGCUGAAGUGUUGAGAAAUCAUCAUGGAGGGCUGUAGCGAUACUGACGUGCAAAUCGUUCGUUUGAUGUGGGCAUAGGUGCGAAAGACUAAUCGAACCAUCUGGUAGCUGGUUUCCUCCGAAAUUUCUCUCAGGAUAGCUGGGGCUCAUUUAUGCAGUUGUAUGUAGUAGAGAUGAUGUCUAGAGUAACAGGGGACAAUCGCGUCCUUUGACUAUUCGCAAACUUCGAACACGUACGAAAGGGGGUUUGCUUAAUUGAAACCCCCUGUGAAUGAGAGCCCCAAGUGGGCCGUCUUUGGUAAGCAGAGCUGGCGAUGCGGGAUCAACCGAACGCAAAGAGAAGGUGCCUAAAUUUACGCUCAUCAGACAAUCGUAAAGGGUGUUUGUUCAUAUAGACAGCAGGACGGUGGUCAUGGAAGUAGAAAUCCGCUAAGGAGUGUGUAACAACUCACCUGCCGAAUGGAGAAGCCCCGAAAAUGAAUGGCGCUCAAGCGUAAUACCGAUACUUUGCUAUUGGAAAAUGAAAUAGUUUCCAAUAAGUAGGAGGACGUCGGCGUUGGAUAGAAGGCAUUGGGUAGCCAGUGUUGGACCAGCGUCGAGUGCAGAUCUUGGUGGUAGUAGCAAAUACAAAAGAGAGUACCUUUUGGGCCGAAGUGGAGCAAGGUUUUCAUAGAACGACAUUCGGUAUGAAGUUAGUCGGUCCUAAGGAAGGUGGCGAAAGCCAUAUAAAGCCGUUGAUGCCAAGCAAUUGGGAACAAAGGUCCUCCGAAAGGGAAUCAGUUUAAAAUCACUGAACCACUGCAUGUGCGAGAUGUGGCAACACUUUUAGUAUGCCGGCGACGCUUGCCAAGAGACGUUGAAGAGUUGUCUUUUCUUCUUAACUGACUAACGAGAGAUCCGUGGAAUGGAUUUGGUCCGAGAUAUGGUUCAAAGUCAGGAAGAGUGGAGGCGCCUUUGCCUCCACAAUCGUACUCUUGGUUGGUCCUUGAAAAGCCGGUACUAUCUACUUAAAACGCGCAUGUAUGGCCGUACUGAUAACCGCCUCAGGUCUCCUAGGUGAGAAGCCUCUGGUCGAUAGAAGAAUGUGGAUAAGGGAAGUCGGCAAGAUAGAUCCGUAACUUCGGGAAAAGGAUUGGCUCUAAAGCGAAGUCGUAGGGAGGCUGCUCGUCGUUGCUUUGCUGGGAUUUGGGUAGUCGCAAGGCUGCUUGGGUUUCGGUGGGGUGGCAACUUGUAGUUGUGGGGCAACUCACACCCUGCGGCGUCAUUUCGCAGUUUAGAACCGUCACGGACAAAGGGAAUCCGACUGUUUAACUAAAACAUAGCAUUGUGAUGGUCGGUGAACGAUGAUGACACAAUGUGAUUUCUGCCCAGUGCUCUGAAUGUCAAUUUGAAGAGACUCAAUGAAGCGCGGGUAAACGGCGGGAGUAACUAUGACUCUCUUAAGGUAGCCAAAUGCCUCGUCAUCNNAUGCCUCGUCAUCUAAUUAGUGACGCGCAUGAAUGGAUUAACGAGAUUCCCACUGUCCCUAUCUACUAUCUAGCGAAACCACAGCCAAGGGAACGGGCUUCGCAAAAUCUGCGGGGAAAGAAGACCCUUUUGAGCUUGACUCUAGUCUGAAACAGUUGAAUGGUACGGGAGGUAUAGAAUAGGUGGGAGGUGUUAAAAGCCGACAGUGAAAUACCACUACUCCUGAUGCUAUUCGACUACGGUAAUGGGCAACGGGGCCAAGGAGACUUGGUUUUUCUGGAAAGAAGGAUGAUGCACGCUGGGGACACUUUAAAACGUUUUUUAGCCUCUGCCAUUCGUCGUUUGGUACCAAAUAUUUCAGGUGGGGAGUUUGGCUGGGGCGGCACAUCUGUUAAAAUGCAACACAGAUGUCCAAAGGGGAGCUCAGAGCGGACAGAAACCACUCGUAGAGCAAAAGGGCAAAAGCUCCCUUGAUUUUGACUUCCAGUACGAGUACAAACAGUGAAAACUAGGCCUAUCGAUCCUUUAUCUUGUUAUGGAGUAACGUUUAACGAUAGAGGUGCCAGAAAAGUUACCACAGGGAUAACUGGCUUGUGGCAGCCAAGCGUUCAUAGCGACGUUGCUUUUUGAUCCUUCGAUGUCGGCUCUUCCUAUCAUUGUGAAGCAGAAUUCACCAAGUGUUGGAUUGUUCACCCACUAAUAGGGAACGUGAGCUGGGUUUAGACCGUCGUGAGACAGGUUAGUUUUACCCUACAGAUAAGACGAUAAAUCGAUCGUUACCCCGACAGUAAUACAAGUCAGUACGAGAGGAACCCUUGUAUCGGAUAAUUGGUGUAUGUGCUUCCACGAGAGUGGAGUGGCACGAAGCUACAAUCCGAUUGGUUACAGCUGAACGCCUCUAAGUUGGUACCAUGUCUGGAAAAGGAGUGACAUUAAGAAAUAUGUGGCAGAUGAAUCAAGCAGCGAACUAUACAUCAAACCAUACCAAUUUGGUUGAUCGGUCGUCCGACUAUCGUUUGGCGGCCGUUCA